rnacentral:rRNA from 1 species
AUGAACGCUGGCGGCGUGCCUAAUACAUGCAAGUAGAACGCUGAAGGAAGGAGCUUGCUCUUUCCGGAUGAGUUGCGAACGGGUGAGUAACGCGUAGGUAACCUGCCUGGUAGCGGGGGAUAACUAUUGGAAACGAUAGCUAAUACCGCAUAACAGUAGAUGUUGCAUGAUAUCUACUUAAAAGGUGCAAUUGCACCACUACCAGAUGGACCUGCGUUGUAUUAGCUAGUUGGUGCGGUAACGGCUCACCAAGGCGACGAUACAUAGCCGACAUGAGAGGGUGGUCGGCCAGACUGGGACGGAGACACGGCCCAGACUCCUACGGGAAGCAGCAGUAGGGAAUCUUCGGCAAUAGACGGAAGUCUGACCGAGCAACGCCGCGUGAGUGAGGAGGGUUUUCGGAUCGUAAAGCUCUGUUGUAAGAGAAGAACGAGUGUGAGAGUGGAAAGUUCACACUGUGACGGUAUCUUACCAGAAAGGGACGGCUAACUACGUG